UGCGGGGAGGGAGAGGGAGAGAGAGAGAGAGGGCAACGCCAGGAAUUGGGGCAAACAAAGCGCAAUUGAUGCCAGUGGGCGUGGCACCUAACUGGCAGUAGGUCUGUCUCUUGCUCUCUCUCUCUCUUGCUCUCUCUCUCUCUCUCCAU
rnacentral:miRNA from 1 species